rnacentral:rRNA from 1 species
CAUAGCGACUAUCGUGGCAUAUCAAUAAGCGGAGGAAAAGAAACUAACAAGGAUUCCCUUAGUAAUGGCGAGUGAAGCGGGAAGAGCUCAAAUUUGAAAUCUUCAGGGUUCUACCUUGACGAAUUGUAGUUUAUAGAAGUGUUUUCUGUUAGUGGAGUGGCAAAAGUUCUUUGGAAUAGGACAUCAUAGAGGGUGAGAAUCCCGUAUUUGGUCAUUCCUCCUAGCGUUGUGAUACACUUUCAACGAGUCGGAUUGUUUGGGAAUGCAGUCCAAAAUGGGUGGCAAAUUUCAUCUAAAGCUAAAUAUUGGCGAGAGACCGAUAGCGAACAAGUACCGUGAGGGAAAGAUGAAAAGAACUUUGAAAAGAGAGUUAAACAGUACGUGAAAUUGUCAAAAGGGAAGCGUUUGACACCAGUGUUGUUUUUCCGAAAAUCAAUUACGAAUGUUUUGUUUUUGAGGAGUUAUGACUUCAUCGGCUUGCUCCUUUCUUUCCGAAUCUUUUUAAUGCACUUUUCGGUUAACAAGUCAACAUCAAUUUCUUUUGUUGUAAAAGAGUCAUUGGAAGGUGGCUUUUCUUUCGGAGAAAAGUGUUUAUAGCCUUUGAUCUCUGCAAUCCGGAGAGACUGAGGUCUGCAGCGUAGACUCUUCGGGGUUAAAUACAUUUGUGCUAAGCUAUAGCUUUUAUAGACAACUUGUUGACUAUGAUUAGUCAUUGUAGCUUACUCGCUUAUGCUAUUUUACCUACGCUUAGGAUGUUGAUAUGCAUGACUGAUAU